rnacentral:rRNA from 1 species
AGUGAACGCUGGCGGUAGGCCUAACACAUGCAAGUCGAACGGCAGCACAGUAAGAGCUUGCUCUUACGGGUGGCGAGUGGCGGACGGGUGAGGAAUACAUCGGAAUCUACUUUUUCGUGGGGGAUAACGUAGGGAAACUUACGCUAAUACCGCAUACGACCUACGGGUGAAAGCAGGGGAUCUUCGGACCUUGCGCGAUUGAAUGAGCCGAUGUCGGAUUAGCUAGUUGGCGGGGUAAAGGCCCACCAAGGCGACGAUCCGUAGCCGGUCUGAGAGGAUGAUCAGCCACACUGGAACUGAGACACGGUCCAGACUCCUACGGGAGGCAGCAGUGGGGAAUAUUGGACAAUGGGCGCAAGCCUGAUGCAGCCAUACCGCGUGGGUGAAGAAGGCCUUCGGGUUGUAAAGCCCUUUUGUUGGGAAAGAAAAGCAGCAGGUUAAUACCCCGCUGUUCUGACGGUACCCAAAGAAUAAGCACCGGCUAACUUCGUG